UCCUGAGGGCAAAGACCAGAGAGCCUACCAGCUGCCCGAGAGCUGCUCCCGGGCCUCCCCUUAGAGUCACAGGCCCUCCUGUGGUUCGCAGUGCUGCAUAGAGACAGAAGUUGUUUAUUCCCAAGGCUGUUGUAGUGCAAACAGAUUUAGACAUGAAAAGUCGCAGGCAAGCAUGCAUUUUGGAAUAUUGCUUAAGAGGAAAUUCUUUGAAAAGACAAAUAAUGUUUUGUUUUGUUUCGUUGUCCCCUCUGAAAAAGGGUUCCUCUGCACAGAGAAACCCUGUCUCAAAGAACCAAAGUCGGAUAAGAGUGUUUGUGCUUUGCCAGAGAGAUGUCCUCACCCCAGGUGCAAGUAGGGAUAGAGACAAUUGUUCUCUUCAUUAAAAAGCAAUCACCAUUGAUAUCAUUUAGUCAGAGUCCACAAUCCGGUCUCGGCAGGUUCCACUGAGGCGCGGUUGACACACUGUGAGUUCCUUAUUUAAUCGUGCCGUUCGAUCAGCUUUGUGCAGAGUUGUGGAACCAUCACUACAGCCAGAUAACCUCUGCCCUCCUCUGCUGCCCUCUGCCACGGGACAGCCUUUAGUCUGCCUUUCACUACUACAGCUGGCGUGGAUUCUAUAAUAAUUUCUGUUCAUGUAAGCACACAGUGUGUGUUUUUUUAAUUUCAUUUUGAGAUCCCUGUUGUUUCACCUUUCAGUAAUUCACUCUCUUGAAAAUGAUGCACUAGUUUAUAGUUCAUCAUUAAAAUUAAAAGGAGAUUUAUUUUUAUUUUAUGUGUGUUGCCUGUAUGUAUGUAUGUACGUAUGUAUAUAUGUACAUAUGUAUAUAUGUCUUAUAUAUGAAUGUGCACCAUAUGUGUGCCUGGGGCCCUUGGAGGUCAGAAGAAGGUGACAUAGCCCCUGGAACUGGAGUUCUAUAUAGAUUUGUGUGGACCGCCACAUUGGCUCUGGGAAUUGAAGCUGGGCUUGUUGUAAGGGCAGCAAGUGCUCUUAACCACAGGAACAACUCUCUCCAGCCCAGCCAAUCCAUAUUUAUUCCUGAGUUGUGUUCUAGUAUAUGGAAACUUCAGAUUUUGUAAAAAAUAUGAUGGGUGAUGGCAGCCCACACCUUUAGUCCCAGCACUCUAGGGCAGAGGAAGGCGGAUCUCUGAGUUUGAGGCCAGUCUGGUCUGUAGUACACUUUAGGUUAUACCUUUAGGUUUUUACCCACAUAUAUACCUGUAGUACACUUUAGGUUAUACCUUUAGGUUUUUACCCACAUAUAUAAUAGUAAAAUGCAAACAUUUCUCAUAUUUCUAAUAUAUAUUGUAUAACUUUAAAAUUUGAAAUUAUAGUUUCAAAUUUACAGAGAGGUUAUGUGGGCAUUUAGGAUGAAAAAUCCCUCACCCAGAAUACUUCAGACAGAAGUAUUUAUGAUUAUUAGAUUUUGAGAUAUUGAUACAGGCUCUCCCCAUGAAGCCUUGCUAAUCUGGACGUCUCAGAUCUAAAACUAAGCUUCGAGCUACUGCUUUUAGGGCUGUGGAUGCUCAGAUGAGGGAUGUCCAGCCUGGGUAAGAACCUCCCACGUGCUCCUUAUUCAGCUUCGGCCCUGUUCGUUUAGAGUGCAUUGUCGGUUGACCUUGUGUUGGACCAAUCCAACACAGAGAAUUAGCUGAGGUAUGGGGAGAUAAAAUAAGGACAUAGCACUUUAUUUUAUGCUGAAUUUAUUCCCGGGCCAUGAGUUUUUGUUUCUUCAGUUUCUUCUGGGAUAUCUUUUUCUCCUCCUCUUCUGGCUUUGGAAAGAUCUGUUCCCUCUCAGUGAGGAUCAUCUCACUGUGGCAGGGGGAGCUCAUGUAUGGGUUAAUCCGGCCAUGAGCUCUGUAGGUUUGUCAGUGCAUCUUAGGUGCCUUGUUCACCUGGAUGUGUUUAAUGACUAGAGAAUCUACGUCUAAACCCUUAAGUUCGGCAUUCCUCUCUGCAUUUUUAAGCAUGUGCAGCAAAAAUUCAGCACUCUUUUUUUUUUGGCCACUGUCCCUGUGUCCAGCCCUACUGUUUGGCCUGGGCGCACCUACCGACUCCACCAUUAUACCUCCGGAAUGGCACACAUUGCUUCUUUAAAGUGACAUCCUUCAGAUACUUGGUGGCUUUGUGGAUAUGCAUACCCUUGAUGGCCUGGGCAGUUUCCUAGGUGUUCUAAAAGUGAACACGAAGGUUUGGACCUCUUGAUUUGCAUGAUUUUGUGGGGUUUUCUGGGUCAAGAGAGUAGCGAACCAUCUUCGCAGGUGACCUCUGGCUGCUUACAGGAAGAGCCCGUCACCUUU
rnacentral:lncRNA from 1 species